rnacentral:ncRNA from 1 species
ACACCAGCUGCUAUAGUACCUGAAUGAUAAAAAAAAAAUAAAUGUCAUUCUAAAAUCUUGAGAAUUGCUGGAAAACCCUUAAUAAAGGAUGAUCAGCAGGGAAGCUUUUUAUAAAGAACCUUCAGAGACUAUGCACAAGACAAUUAUAUUUAUAAUUGAAGAUAUAGUCCGACCAUAGUACAAAUACUAUG